UACAACAUAAUUUAAUAAAUCCGAUGUAAAAAGCUUGAAGAAGAAGAUGUUUGGAAUUUUUUUGGUUUAUUGAAAUUAUGGAGAAUGAAGGCAAGAGAAUGGAAGGAAAGGCUUUGGAUGGUACUUUAAUUAGUACUUCAACUGGAAUUGGAAGUAGAGCUACAAGUAGAGGAUAAGAUAUGUAUAUUUUUUCUAAUUCUAUGAGCAUGUUUGAGGCUUUU
rnacentral:lncRNA from 1 species